rnacentral:lncRNA from 10 species
GAAAAGAAGAUAAAAAGGAAAAUAAAAGUGUUCUGUCCUACACCGGGAGGAAGAAAUGCUACACAGAGAGGCUGAGAAGAAUCUGAACAAACAGGCCUUGCUGGAUUUCCCCUUCAGUUUAUUGCCAUUUGCUUGCACUUUUUGUCGAAUCACAUUUCUACAUGGUGUUAACCAAACAUAAAAUACAGUUUUCCCUGGGUCUUUGCAUCUUCAUUUCUGAAGGUUCCCCUGUCACAUAAAAUGUUGAUUAAAUAAAUUUGUUACAUUUUUCCCUUGCUAAUCUGUCUUUUGUUAUAGGAGAGUUGGCUGUGACCCUUGUGAUGAAUGAGAAGAGGUAUUACCUUUUCACCCCUACACUCCCAUGGGUAUGUCCAGGGUUACACACAAUUCCUCACAUGCUAACUAAGACACCAUCCCACAAGAAAGCCUAUCAGUAGACAAUUGCAUGACACUGACAUUAUUAUAAUUGGAAACUUAAAUCUGUUGUAUAUAUUAAAUUGUGUUAAAAUACAUAUAACAUAAAGUUUACCAUCUUAACCAUUUUAAAAUGAACAGUUUGGUGGCUGGGCGUGGUGGCUCAUGCCUGUAAUCCCAGCAUUCUGGGAGGCCGAGGUGGGCGGAUCACGAGGUCAGGAGAUCAAGACCAUUCUGUGAAUGGUGAAACCCUGUCUCUACUAAAAAUACAAAAAAUUAGCCUGGCGUGGUGGCAGGUGCCUCUAGUCCCAGCUACUCGGG